AUUUUCUGAUUUGAAUUCCUUUGUUAGGGGAAUUAGAAAACCAACUAUUGUUUUUUUGAAAAUG
rnacentral:tRNA from 1 species